rnacentral:rRNA from 1 species
GCGGAGGAAAAGAAACCAACAGGGAUUGCCUUAGUAGCGGCGAGUGAAGCGGCAAAAGCUCAAAUUUGAAAUCUGGCACUUUCAGUGUCCGAGUUGUAAUUUGAAGAAGGUAUCUUUGGGUCUGGCUCUUGUCUAUGUUUCUUGGAACAGAACGUCACAGAGGGUGAGAAUCCCGUGCGAUGAGAUGUCCCAGACCUAUGUAAAGUUCCUUCGAAGAGUCGAGUUGUUUGGGAAUGCAGCUCUAAGUGGGUGGUAAAUUCCAUCUAAAGCUAAAUAUUGGCGAGAGACCGAUAGCGAACAAGUACAGUGAUGGAAAGAUGAAAAGAACUUUGAAAAGAGAGUGAAAAAGUACGUGAAAUUGUUGAAAGGGAAGGGCUUGAGAUCAGACUUGGUAUUUUGUAUGUUACUCUCUCGGGGGUGGCCUCUACAGUUUACCGGGCCAGCAUCAGUUUGAGCGGUAGGAUAAGUGCAAAGAAAUGUGGCACUGCUUCGGUAGUGUGUUAUAGUCUUUGUCGAUACUGCCAGCUUAGACUGAGGACUGCGGCUUCGGCCUAGGAUGUUGGCAUAAUGAUCUUAAGUCGCCCGUCUUA